GGUAUGUUGGUUGCUGCUGCCCAUGCCCUCAAAUCGUCACGUAAGUUGUCAGUAUUACUGUCAUCAAUGUUGCUGUCCUAGUCUUGCUCAUCAGAGCUAUAAUAAUCACUUUUUGUGUUUUCUUCCUGACCGGAGGUGGCACGAAACCAGUCUCCUCCUGCAUCACCGUCGCAACUGUCUACCUCCAUCGGCAAAACGGCUGUGUUGGAAUCCUCAAUGAAGGCCAAGUAUCUGGCAACAAUUGGCGGUCCCAACACAUCUGCCAACAGAAGACGGAUCCUUGUCCGCCUGCUAACCACCCCAUUGGCCCAACAACUGUGCUGGCGGGGCUCUGGCCAGAAGUUGGCUUUUGGGGAUAUGUCAUAAGUCAUAGAUGCUGUGACAAAAAGCAGCCGGGCCACAGCAUCCGAGGUGGAAGCUGCCAUCAAAACAUGGCUCCGCAAUGCCAG